CGUGGGUAACCUGCCUGUAAGACUGGGAUAACUCCGGGAAACCGGAGCUAAUACCGGAUAGUUCCUUGAACCGCAUGGUUCAAGGAUGAAAGACGGUUUCGGCUGUCACUUACAGAUGGACCCGCGGCGCAUUAGCUAGUUGGUGGGGUAAUGGCUCACCAAGGCGACGAUGCGUAGCCGACCUGAGAGGGUGAUCGGCCACACUGGGACUGAGACACGGCCCAGACUCCUACGGGAGGCAGCAGUAGGGAAUCUUCCGCAAUGGACGAAAGUCUGACGGAGCAACGCCGCGUGAGUGAUGAAGGUUUUCGGAUCGUAAAGCUCUGUUGUUAGGGAAGAACAAGUGCGAGAGUAACUGCUCGCACCUUGACGGUACCUAACCAGAAAGCCACGGCUAACUACGUGCCAGCAGCCGCGGUAAUACGUAGGUGGCAAGCGUUGUCCGGAAUUAUUGGGCGUAAAGGGCUCGCAGGCGGUUUCUUAAGUCUGAUGUGAAAGCCCCCGGCUCAACCGGGGAGGGUCAUUGGAAACUGGGAAACUUGAGUGCAGAAGAGGAGAGUGGAAUUCCACGUGUAGCGGUGAAAUGCGUAGAGAUGUGGAGGAACACCAGUGGCGAAGGCGACUCUCUGGUCUGUAACUGACGCUGAGGAGCGAAAGCGUGGGGAGCGAACAGGAUUAGAUACCCUGGUAGUCCACGCCGUAAACGAUGAGUGCUAAGUGUUAGGGGGGUUUCCGCCCCUUAGUGCUGCAGCUAACGCAUUAAGCACUCCGCCUGGGGAGUACGGUCGCAAGACUGAAACUCAAAGGAAUUGACGGGGGCCCGCACAAGCGGGUGGAGCAUGUGGUUUAAUUCGAAGCA
rnacentral:rRNA from 1 species